rnacentral:rRNA from 1 species
ACGAACGCUGGCGGCGUGCCUAAUACAUGCAAGUCGAACGCUUCUUUUUCCACCGGAGCUUGCUCCACCGGAAAAAGAGGAGUGGCGAACGGGUGAGUAACACGUGGGUAACCUGCCCAUCAGAAGGGGAUAACACUUGGAAACAGGUGCUAAUACCGUAUAACAAUCGAAACCGCAUGGUUUUGAUUUGAAAGGCGCUUUCGGGUGUCGCUGAUGGAUGGACCCGCGGUGCAUUAGCUAGUUGGUGAGGUAACGGCUCACCAAGGCGACGAUGCAUAGCCGACCUGAGAGGGUGAUCGGCCACAUUGGGACUGAGACACGGCCCAAACUCCUACGGGAGGCAGCAGUAGGGAAUCUUCGGCAAUGGACGAAAGUCUGACCGAGCAACGCCGCGUGAGUGAAGAAGGUUUUCGGAUCGUAAAACUCUGUUGUUAGAGAAGAACAAGGAUGAGAGUAACUGUUCAUCCCUUGACGGUAUCUAACCAGAAAGCCACGGCUAACUACGUGCCAGCAGCCGCGGUAAUACGUAGGUGGCAAGCGUUGUCCGGAUUUAUUGGGCGUAAAGCGAGCGCAGGCGGUUUCUUAAGUCUGAUGUGAAAGCCCCCGGCUCAACCGGGGAGGGUCAUUGGAAACUGGGAGACUUGAGUGCAGAAGAGGAGAGUGGAAUUCCAUGUGUAGCGGUGAAAUGCGUAGAUAUAUGGAGGAACACCAGUGGCGAAGGCGGCUCUCUGGUCUGUAACUGACGCUGAGGCUCGAAAGCGUGGGGAGCAAACAGGAUUAGAUACCCUGGUAGUCCACGCCGUAAACGAUGAGUGCUAAGUGUUGGAGGGUUUCCGCCCUUCAGUGCUGCAGCUAACGCAUUAAGCACUCCGCCGGGGGAGUACGACCGCAAGGUUGAAACUCAAAGGAAUUGACGGGGGCCCGCACAAGCGGUGGAGCAUGUGGUUUAAUUCGAAGCAACGCGAAGAACCUUACCAGGUCUUGACAUCCUUUGACCACUCUAGAGAUAGAGCUUCCCCUUCGGGGGCAAAGUGACAGGUGGUGCAUGGUUGUCGUCAGCUCGUGUCGUGAGAUGUUGGGUUAAGUCCCGCAACGAGCGCAACCCUUAUUGUUAGUUGCCAUCAUUUAGUUGGGCACUCUAGCAAGACUGCCGGUGACAAACCGGAGGAAGGUGGGGAUGACGUCAAAUCAUCAUGCCCCUUAUGACCUGGGCUACACACGUGCUACAAUGGGAAGUACAACGAGUCGCAAAGUCGCGAGGCUAAGCUAAUCUCUUAAAGCUUCUCUCAGUUCGGAUUGUAGGCUGCAACUCGCCUACAUGAAGCCGGAAUCGCUAGUAAUCGCGGAUCAGCACGCCGCGGUGAAUACGUUCCCGGGCCUUGUACACACCGCCCGUCACACCACGAGAGUUUGUAACACCCGAAGUCGGUGAGGUAACCUUUUGGAGCCAGCCGCCUAAGGUGGGAUAGAUGAUUGGGGUG